rnacentral:sRNA from 1 species
CGUAGAACGCUCAUCACCAAAGGCAGUUUGGGGGUGGAGAGAAGGCGAGACCAACCCCCCGAGCCCGCGCAGCAAAACACGGCCCUCCACCCCCGCGCUCUGGACGCAUGCGUACAGCAAGCGCACGCAGGAGGCGGGACCUGCGGCACAGACACCAGACCCUGCCCCCACCGCGGGGGGCACAGCACAAACUCCAGAAUCACAGCCAAAUAUGCAGAAACGCUGCCUCUGUAUCUAGGGAACCUCACCAGUUUAACAAGUUGUUAGAAUCUCUAUGGUGUCACAGAGCUCCCAGAGCAACCUGAUUCUUACGUCUAUUUCAGCUGGGAUGAACACUAGGCAUCUCUUUCACCCCGCCAUAACUCGCCGCGGCCUGCUUUCCGCUUUCCAUUCUCGGAAAUCACACUAAAAUUGUAUCUGAGCCCAAAGCGGCGCAGCACAGCCUCUGCCGGCCAGGCCUCCACUGUGCUGAACUGCUAGUUCGCCUGCCAAGCCGCCUUUCUUGGGACUUAGUAUUUCAAACUUGCUGCAGUCCUAAGCAUUCGAUAGACGUCCGGUCAACACUUGUUGACUGACAGAUUCACCAUCAGCGAUCAGAGACAAUAUUCUAUUUGUUCUUGAUGAAUGGCUCAAUUAACAGUUACCAGUUUUAGUUACGUAAAAGAGUAGAUGACACUGUUUAAGUCAAACAUAAACAUGAAUGUCUAUCCGCAUUUUGUGGAAACGGAUGUGGGUGUGGGGCGGCAACUUUGAUUCUUUCAGGGUGGACUAUUUGCAAUUAAACUUUUACAUGCGCAAGAUGGCACACUAUUUUGUAUUAGUACCGCACUGCAACUGCAGAAUAAAGCAGUUAAGGAAUUCCUAUCUGAGCGCAAAAAAGGCGCGAUCUUAGCAUUUUCUCUUUUAUUCCCUCCUGAAAGGCGGGCUAGGCCUGGAUCACGUGAUGCGUUUCAACUCCGGGCGGAAGCUGGGGGUGGGGGGGUUGGAGAGCGCGCAGAGCCCCGCUGAAAAAUGGCUGCUGCAUCCGAGUGUACUGCGCCCCGGAGCGGGCUGUAGGGCCCGCGCCACCCCGUCCCCGCUGCUCCCUUACCAUGAUGCCGGUGAGUCGCCGAAACCUGGACUGGACUUACUCCUCGUUGCUACUUGCAAUCGUCUUGCUCUCUUGGGGAUUCGUCAUCUAUGCAUCAACUGUAGCUGCACGAUGGCAGCUACAAAAGGAGUUUCCAGACAAAUUCUUCUGAAUGAACUUUUGUAAUUCUUAACAAACUGUUCUUUUCCUCAAAUGGCACCUAUGUAGACUCAAAAGUAAAAUUCACAAUGCAAA